GGUUAAGCGACUAAGCGUACACGGUGGAUGCCCUGGCAGUCAGAGGCGAUGAAGGACGUGCUAAUCUGCGAUAAGCGUCGGUAAGGUGAUAUGAACCGUUAUAACCGGCGAUUUCCGAAUGGGGAAACCCAGUGUGAUUCGUCACACUAUCGUUAAGUGAAUACAUAGCUUAACGAAGCGAACCGGGGGAACUGAAACAUCUAAGUACCCCGAGGAAAAGAAAUCAACCGAGAUUCCCCCAGUAGCGGCGAGCGAACGGGGAGGAGCCCAGAGUCUGAAUCAGCGCGUGUGUUAGUGGAACGGUCUGGAAAGUCCGGCGGUACAGGGUGAUAGCCCCGUACACUAAAAUGCACACGUUGUGAACUCGAAGAGUAGGGCGGGACACGUGGUAUCCUGUCUGAAUAUGGGGGGACCAUCCUCCAAGGCUAAAUACUCCUGACUGACCGAUAGUGAACCAGUACCGUGAGGGAAAGGCGAAAAGAACCCCGGCGAGGGGAGUGAAAAAGAACCUGAAACCGUGUACGUACAAGCAGUGGGAGCCUACUUGUUAGGUGACUGCGUACCUUUUGUAUAAUGGGUCAGCGACUUAUAUUCUGUAGCAAGGUUAACCGUAUAGGGGAGCCGCAGGGAAACCGAGUCUUAACUGGGCGUUAAGUUGCAGGGUAUAGACCCGAAACCCGGUGAUCUAGCCAUGGGCAGGUUGAAGGUUGGGUAACACUAACUGGAGGACCGAACCGACUAAUGUUGAAAAAUUAGCGGAUGACUUGUGGCUGGGGGUGAAAGGCCAAUCAAACCGGGAGAUAGCUGGUUCUCCCCGAAAGCUAUUUAGGUAGCGCCUCGUGAAUUCAUCUUCGGGGGUAGAGCACUGUUUCGGCUAGGGGGUCAUCCCGACUUACCAACCCGAUGCAAACUACGAAUACCGAAGAAUGUUAUCACGGGAGACACACGGCGGGUGCUAACGUCCGUCGUGAAGAGGGAAACAACCCAGACCGCCAGCUAAGGUCCCAAAGUCAUGGUUAAGUGGGAAACGAUGUGGGAAGGCACAGACAGCCAGGAUGUUGGCUUAGAAGCAGCCAUCAUUUAAAGAAAGCGUAAUAGCUCACUGGUCGAGUCGGCCUGCGCGGAAGAUGUAACGGGGCUAAACCAUGCACCGAAGCUGCGGCAGCGACACUAUGUGUUGUUGGGUAGGGGAGCGUUCUGUAAGCCGUUGAAGGUGGCCUGUGAGGGUUGCUGGAGGUAUCAGAAGUGCGAAUGCUGACAUAAGUAACGAUAAAGCGGGUGAAAAGCCCGCUCGCCGGAAGACCAAGGGUUCCUGUCCAACGUUAAUCGGGGCAGGGUGAGUCGACCCCUAAGGCGAGGCCGAAAGGCGUAGUCGAUGGGAAACAGGUUAAUAUUCCUGUACUCGGUGUUACUGCGAAGGGGGGACGGAGAAGGCUAUGUUAGCCGGGCGACGGUUGUCCCGGUUUAAGCAUGUAGGCGGAAGUUUAGGUAAAUCCGGACUUUAUUAACGCUGAGGUGUGAUGACGAGGCACUACGGUGCUGAAGUAACAAAUGCCCUGCUUCCAGGAAAAGCCUCUAAGCAUCAGGUAACAACGAAUCGUACCCCAAACCGACACAGGUGGUCAGGUAGAGAAUACCAAGGCGCUUGAGAGAACUCGGGUGAAGGAACUAGGCAAAAUGGUGCCGUAACUUCGGGAGAAGGCACGCUGAUGGUAGGUGAAGCGACUUGCUCGUGGAGCUGAAAUCAGUCGAAGAUACCAGCUGGCUGCAACUGUUUAUUAAAAACACAGCACUGUGCAAACACGAAAGUGGACGUAUACGGUGUGACGCCUGCCCGGUGCCGGAAGGUUAAUUGAUGGGGUUAUCCGUAAGGAGAAGCUCUUGAUCGAAGCCCCGGUAAACGGCGGCCGUAACUAUAACGGUCCUAAGGUAGCGAAAUUCCUUGUCGGGUAAGUUCCGACCUGCACGAAUGGCGUAAUGAUGGCCAGGCUGUCUCCACCCGAGACUCAGUGAAAUUGAACUCGCUGUGAAGAUGCAGUGUACCCGCGGCAAGACGGAAAGACCCCGUGAACCUUUACUAUAGCUUGACACUGAACAUUGAGCCUUGAUGUGUAGGAUAGGUGGGAGGCUUUGAAGUGUGGACGCCAGUCUGCAUGGAGCCAACCUUGAAAUACCACCCUUUAAUGUUUGAUGUUCUAACGUAGACCCGUGAUCCGGGUUGCGGACAGUGUCUGGUGGGUAGUUUGACUGGGGCGGUCUCCUCCCAAAGAGUAACGGAGGAGCACGAAGGUUAGCUAAUCCUGGUCGGACAUCAGGAGGUUAGUGCAAUGGCAUAAGCUAGCUUGACUGCGAGCGUGACGGCGCGAGCAGGUGCGAAAGCAGGUCAUAGUGAUCCGGUGGUUCUGAAUGGAAGGGCCAUCGCUCAACGGAUAAAAGGUACUCCGGGGAUAACAGGCUGAUACCGCCCAAGAGUUCAUAUCGACGGCGGUGUUUGGCACCUCGAUGUCGGCUCAUCACAUCCUGGGGCUGAAGUAGGUCCCAAGGGUAUGGCUGUUCGCCAUUUAAAGUGGUACGCGAGCUGGGUUUAGAACGUCGUGAGACAGUUCGGUCCCUAUCUGCCGUGGGCGCUGGAGAAUUGAGGGGGGCUGCUCCUAGUACGAGAGGACCGGAGUGGACGCAUCACUGGUGUUCGGGUUGUCAUGCCAAUGGCAUUGCCCGGUAGCUAAAUGCGGAAAAGAUAAGUGCUGAAAGCAUCUAAGCACGAAACUUGCCCCGAGAUGAGUUCUCCCUGACUCCUUGAGAGUCCUGAAGGAACGUUGAAGACGACGACGUUGAUAGGUCGGGUGUGUAAGCGUAGCGAUACGUUGAGCUAACCGAUACUAAUGAACCGUGAGGCUUAACCUU
rnacentral:rRNA from 1 species